UGUUUGGCUCGCUACCCUUUCACUCGUGACGUAACCCCAGCCGCCUCCUCCCACUCCCACUCCCAAUCCCUCUCCCCAUCCACCAAACCCUAAAUCUCAUACUCUCCUCUGGCCUCGCCCCCGAUACCACCACCACUGACAUCGCCGUCCUCCACCGCGAGGGCUUCAAGACCGAUUGUGUCGUGCGGCGGCUCUGAGACACGGACUCAUCGGUGCGAUCCGCGUGCGUGAGUUCCAUCACGGCAUUGUCGCGCCACGUCAACUAGCAGUCGUUAGGUUCGUUCGUGAAGCCGUUGGCAGAGGCGUUGUUCACGGAGCAGGACCAGAACGCGCAGGCCGGCACGGCGCUGUGUCUCGCCGGCACGAUUGACGGAGCUCCAGAUCCCUGCUUGGUGGUGUUGCUGAGCAGUCCCGAUUGGUCAACGCGAAAGGCCACGACGGAGGCUCUCGUGGUUGUUGCCAAUGUGGAGAGGGAGUUCCUGCUGGAGUUCAAGGCUGAGUGUAUGAAGAAUAUCUUCACGUGAUACUGGAAAGACAAUGGUAGAUGCCUCUUUAGGUGAAAUAAUGACAACAUGUGAGAAGAUAAAUUGGCUACUAUCAGAGGGUGGAAGAGCAAUGCUUCAUAAAAGAGCCAGAGUAGAAUUUCACCCUCUGGGUGUUAUCGGUGCCAUUGUGUGAUGGAACUAUCCUUUCCACAAUAUUUUUAACCCUAUGUUGGCAGCAGUUUUUUCUGGAAAUGGCAUUGUGAUUAAGAUUUCAGAAAAUGCAAGUUGUUGUAGGUGCUUUUACUUCCGUAUAAUCCAAUCAGCUCUUGCUGCCAUAGGAGCUCCAGAAGACCUUGUUGAGGUUAUGACAGGGUUUGCUAAAACAGGAGAAGCACUGGUAACUUCUGCUGACAAAGUCAUUUUUGUAGGAUCGUUGGGUUGGUAAGAUGGUACGAUCCUUUGGCCUACCAAAUUGCAAGGAUUGACUUCAUGGGCAAAGCCAGAAAAAUGCUAUCAAUAGGGCAAAGCAGAAAUACAUUGAAUGCAUGGGUCCUACAAACUUUUCAAGGAUUCGUGCAAAAUUACAAGAAAAGAAGAAUGGAGAUGAUGUUUCUCAAGUAGUGAAUCUGCUGAACAAGCUUUUCAAUCAAUCUUUGGCAAAGAAAAACCCGGUAGAGUUCGAUGUUUGGGAAGACUUGAUAAUGAAGAUCAACCGUAUGAUGAUGAAGAGACUGAAUGAUGUUUUUUUACAUGGAUGGAUGACUAGCUAUGUAUAAUAUUCCUAGAUGACACUUUAUUUUGAAAUUUAGAAGUUUUAUAUAAACUUUGACAUCUUUGGAUGAUUUUAUUUGGAGUUUUAUGCUUUUGAAUUGUCAUAUACUUGGAACUAAUUAAUGCAAGUCAAUUUUACA